rnacentral:rRNA from 1 species
GAUGAACGCUGGCGGCGUGCCUAAUACAUGCAAGUCGAGCGAAUGGAUUAAGAGCUUGUUCUUAUGAAGUUAGCGGCGGACGGGUGAGUAACACGUGGGUAACCUGCCCAUAAGACUGGGAUAACUCCGGGAAACCGGGGCUAAUACCGGAUAACAUUUUGAACCGCAUGGUUCGAAGUUGAAAGGCGGCUUCGGCUGUCACUUAUGGAUGGACCCGCGUCGCAUUAGCGAGUUGGUGAGGUAACGGCUCACCAAGGCAACGAUGCGUAGCCGACCUGAGAGGGUGAUCGGCCACACUGGGACUGAGACACGGCCCAGACUCCUACGGGAGGCAGCAGUAGGGAAUCUUCCGCAAUGGACGAAAGUCUGACGGAGCAACGCCGCGUGAGUGAUGAAGGCUUUCGGGUCGUAAAACUCUGUUGUUAGGGAAGAACAAGUGCUAGUUGAAUAAGCUGGCACCUUGACGGUACCUAACCAGAAAGCCACGGCUAACUACGUGCCAGCAGCCGCGGUAA